rnacentral:rRNA from 1 species
UAGAGUUUGAUCCUGGCUCAGAUUGAACGCUGGCGGCAGGCCUAACACAUGCAAGUCGAGCGGUAGCAGGAAGUGCUUGCACUUCGCUGACGAGCGGCGGACGGGUGCGUAACACGUAGGAAUCUGCCCGGUAGUGGGGGAUAGCCCGGAGAAAUUCGGAUUAAUACCGCAUACGCCCUAAGGGGGAAAGCAGGGGAUCGGUUCGCCGACCUUGCGCUAUCGGAUGAGCCUGCGUCGGAUUAGCUUGUUGGUGGGGUAAAGGCCUACCAAGGCAACGAUCCGUAGCUGGUCUGAGAGGAUGAUCAGCCACACUGGGACUGAGACACGGCCCAGACUCCUACGGGAGGCAGCAGUGGGGAAUAUUGCACAAUGGGCGAAAGCCUGAUGCAGCCAUGCCGCGUGUGUGAAGAAGGCCCUAGGGUUGUAAAGCACUUUCAGUGGGGAGGAAAGGUUGAAGGUUAAUACCCUUCAGCUGUGACGUUACCCACAGAAGAAGCACCGGCUAACUCCGUGCCAGCAGCCGCGGUAAUACGGAGGGUGCGAGCGUUAAUCGGAAUUACUGGGCGUAAAGCGUGCGUAGGCGGCUUUUUAAGUUGGAUGUGAAAGCCCCGGGCUCAACCUGGGAACUGCAUCCAAAACUGGAAGGCUCGAGUGCGAGAGAGGAGUGUGGAAUUUCCUGUGUAGCGGUGAAAUGCGUAGAUAUAGGAAGGAACACCAGUGGCGAAGGCGACACUCUGGCUUGACACUGACGCUGAGGUACGAAAGCGUGGGGAGCAAACAGGAUUAGAUACCCUGGUUAGUCCACGCCGUAAACGAUGUCUACUAGUUGUCGGUGGUCUUGUACUGCUGGUAACCGCAGCUAACGCGAUAAGUAGACCGCCUGGGGAGUACCGGCCGCAAGGUUAAAACUCAAAUGAAUUGA